rnacentral:rRNA from 1 species
GGUGAACGCUGGCGGCGUGCUUAACACAUGCAAGUCGAACGAUGAUGCCCAGCUUGCUGGGUGGUUUGGUGGCGAACGGGCGGGUAACUCGUGAGUAACCUGCCCUCGACUCUGGGAUAAGCCUGGGAAACUGGGUCUAAUACCGGAUACGACCAACUGGCUACUGUCGUGGUGGUGGAAAGCUUUUGUGGUAUUGGAUGGACUCGCGGCCUAUCAGCUUGUUGGUGGGGUAAUGGCCUACCAAGGCGACGACGGGUAGCCGGCCUGAGAGGGUGAACAGCCACACUGCGACUGAGACACGGCCCAGUCUCCUACGGGAGGCAGCAGUGGGGAGUAUUGCCCAAUGGGCGCGAGCCUGAGGCAGCGACGCCGCGUGAGGGAAGACGGCCUUCGGGUUGUGAACCUCUUUCAGUAGGGAAGAAGCUAAAGUGACGGUACCUGCAGAAGAAGCGCCGGCUAACUACGUG